rnacentral:ncRNA from 2 species
UGUUACGAUAAAAAUUCGGGUGCGUUGUUCAAAUCCAUGAACCACGUUAAACGGGAAGCCGGUGACACUGCCAUUGCAGUCAUUCCGGCGCAGCCCCCGCUGCUGUAAGCCAGACGACUCUGCCCACUGCCACUGUGUUCACGAACAUGGGAAGGCGCGGAGAAGGAUGAAGGCGAGCCAGAAUACCGGCCCGAAAAAUGUCAGCACC